UGUCGGGGUAACGGCCCAACAAGCCAGUAAUCGGUACGGGUUGUGGGAGCAAGAGCCCGGAGAUGGAUUCUGAGACAUGAAUCCAGGCCCUACGGGGCGCAGCAGGCGCGAAAACUUUACAAUGCGAGCAAUCGUGAUAAGGAAACCCUGAGUGCCUGUCAAUGCAGGCUGUUCUGGUGUCUAACACACACCAGGAGAAAGGGCGGGGCAAGACCGGUGCCAGCCGCCGCGGUAAUACCGGCUGCUCGAGUGAUAGCCGCUUUUACUGGGCUUAAAGCGUUCGUAGCUUGGUCGUUAAGUCUCUGGGGAAAUCUUUUGGCUUAACCAAAAGGCGUCUCAGGGAAACUGGCGAUCUUGGAACCGGGAGAGGUAAGACGUACUUCGGGGGUAGGAGUGAAAUCUUGUAAUCCCCGAGGGACGACCGAUGGCGAAGGCAUCUUACCAGAACGGCUUCGACAGUGAGGGACGAAAGCUGGGGGAGCAAACCGGAUUAGAU
rnacentral:rRNA from 1 species